UCAAAUGUAAAUGGCAUUAUAUAAAAAACAUGUUUUGAGGAAUACCUGAAAUAUGAAAUGAUAACAAUUUUUUAUUACAAAGAUAUUUCAAGAAAACAACCUCCCCGGGUUAUUUUUGACCCACCUAUGCAUCUAAGGGUUAACCAGUUGGUAAAAGGACGCUAACGCCGGUGAAUUAGCCGUGCACUGGUAUAGCCUUGACCCGGACAGACGUCCAUCGUCAUUGUAAACAUUGUUUACAGAGAUUAAAUAUUAGUUAAAGGGUGGCCAAAAUCACCAUCAAUGCUGACAACCAAAUUGUGCCUUUCCGCAAUGAGAUAUCCCGCCUCAACACCUCCAAAUAGAAGCUCUUUCAUCAUCGCCCCAGCAUUGCCUAACCAUCACCCAUGUGAGUCUUACUACUUUCUCUCAUAAAAGUAUCUUUCCUGCAGUAGUUAGACAUGUAAAUAUAUAUGUAUAUAUAUAUACACUAUAAUAUAUACUAUAACCACUAGAAGUUGUAAAGAAAGUUAAAUAUCUAGGACAUGUGAUCAGAGUGACCUGUGUGAUGAUGAUGAUGUGCAGCGUCAGUGUGGAAAAUUGUAUGGGCAGGCACGCAAAUUUCACAUGUGUACUUCUGAUGUUAAAUUCGCACUUUUCAGAACCUAUUGCGCCCUACUGUAUACUGCCCACCUGUGGUGUCAUUUUAGUAAGUUGAAGAUGAAAAACCUUCAAGUGUUCCUUCUUACAAACCUUCUUAUAAUGAUGCAGAAUUGUGCUUAAAGUCCCUAGGCGGAAUUGUGCCAGUGAAAUGUUUGUGCCCAAUAAAGUGCCCACUUUUAAAGCUGUUUUAAGAAAUGUUAUAUUCAUGUGCAGAUUGACAGGGUCUAAGAAUAUGAUUGUUGUGUCCUUAGUGGAUGUCUCCAAGAGUGACACAAGAUUUGUCACGUAGAUUCGGUGACAUUUAUGAAUCACUCAUGUUUCCCGGGCAAUCGACAAAAAAAAGACCUAAAACAGCAUCAAAUGACGAGUGUCCGGGUCGGGAGACAGUCAUGUUAACGUUCGACAACACUAAUUAGCUAGCUAGCUAAGCUUGACGAGCUACAAGAUUAAAGUGAAUAAGAAAUUUCAAAUAUUUCACGGAAUUUACUUCGCUGUCAAGUCUUGCAACAAUUACAAUCAAUUAUGUUUCACUUACAAUUGAAGCGGAGCGCCGUCUCUACCAGACGCCAUUGACUGCCGUCGCAUGGCCUGCGCAACUUACGCAGCGCUGGCAAUCUGGUGGGGAGUGCAGGGAGGAGAUGAUGUGAUCGAUUGAGAAUGAGGGCGAUAUCUGAUUGGCUAGAUAGGUCCAUGUUGAAAAAAGUGCAUUUGUAGAUUUACUCUGUAAGACAAGUCUCAAAAACGUUUUGUUUGCAUUUAUAAAUCGAAUAUACUUGUGAAAUGUUCUGUGCGCAUUUGUGAAUUUUCUCUUAUUGAGACUGAUCUGACCCCAUAGAUUCAUGUUACACCUGAAAUAAUUUAUAUUGAUUUAUUUUCCUGAUUAACUUUUCACUUAUCCUGUAUCCUGAGUUGGUGAGAUUGCAUGUUUUAUCUGGAGAGUACAAACCUCAUUGUGACCUUCCUUUCCCUCUGUACUUGCAUCAAAAUAACCGGUUCGCUUCGACAUUAUUAUAAGAUUUUAAAUCAGCUAUAUUUGUGUGUGAAUGUCAUGCUAGUAUUGCAACAUGCAAAUAUGCUUUUAUUUGCCAUUCUUUAUUGUUUCCACAGACAUUAGUUUGACGUUCUAAUCAAUACAUAAGACUAACAUCCACAAUAUCAAAAGUAAUGGAGAAAAAAAAGAAAUAUCAAGUAUCAAAUCAGCCAAGAAAAAAAAAUAUUUCUCCAAGAGAAACAUUUUUCACUGUCACCAUGACAACCAUUACAGUACAAAGAUCCAUAGUUUAAGGAGCUGUAAUUGAUAAGCAGAGUUGAGGAGAAACAGUGUCAUACAAUUUAAUAAACAAAUUUUACAUUUAUUUCUGUAUUUAUUUUUAUACAGAAAUAAAAAAAUAUGUAAUGAGAUUGUAAAGCCUAAAACAUCCUGGUUGUACAAUGAUGAUAAUAAUUCAAAGUGGUAUUAGAAUCUAAAUAUUUAGUUGACUGGAUACAUAGUAGAAAUAUUUGCAACAUUACCAUCAAAGUACACAAAUAAUUACUUCAAUCGUAAAUCUUACUUUGUAUAUCAUUUCAAAAUUGCAUUUCAUGUAUGACGAUCAAUCCUCUUCAGAAUAUUUUGUAUUUGAGGUUGUUUCUCGAGCCUUGUGAUCAUCCAUUACGGUAUGAGCUGUGUGAGCUCUUUUGUGUUCAGUACCAGAACCCUUUGAGGCAAACCCCUCAACUU
ensembl:lncRNA